ACUCCUACGGGAGGCAGCAGUGGGGAAUAUUGCACAAUGGGCGCAAGCCUGAUGCAGCCAUGCCGCGUGUAUGAAGAAGGCCUUCGGGUUGUAAAGUACUUUCAGCAGUGAGGAAGGUGGAGUCGUUAAUAGCGGCCUCAUUUGACGUUAGCUGCAGAAGAAGCACCGGCUAACUCCGUGCCAGCAGCCGCGGUAAUACGGAGGGUGCGAGCGUUAAUCGGAAUUACUGGGCGUAAAGCGCAUGCAGGUGGUUUGUUAAGUCAGAUGUGAAAGCCCGGGGCUCAACCUCGGAAUUGCAUUUGAAACUGGCAGACUAGAGUACUGUAGAGGGGGGUAGAAUUUCAGGUGUAGCGGUGAAAUGCGUAGAGAUCUGAAGGAUACCGGUGGCGAAGGCGGCCCCCUGGACAGAUACUGACACUCAGAUGCGAAAGCGU
rnacentral:rRNA from 1 species